CCUACGGGUGGCAGCAGUGGGGAAUAUUGGACAAUGGGGGGAACCCUGAUCCAGCCAUGCCGCGUGUGUGAAGAAGGCCCUCGGGUUGUAAAGCACUUUCAGUGAGGAAGAACGCCUGGUGGUUAAUACCCAUCAGGAAAGACAUCACUCACAGAAGAAGCACCGGCUAACUCCGUGCCAGCAGCCGCGGUAAUACGGAGGGUGCGAGCGUUAAUCGGAAUUACUGGGCGUAAAGCGCGCGUAGGUGGCUUGAUAAGCCGGUUGUGAAAGCCCCGGGCUCAACCUGGGAACGGCAUCCGGAACUGUCAAGCUAGAGUGCAGGAGAGGAAGGUAGAAUUCCCGGUGUAGCGGUGAAAUGCGUAGAGAUCGGGAGGAAUACCAGUGGCGAAGGCGGCCUUCUGGACUGAAACUGACACUGAGGUGCGAAAGCGUGGGUAGCAAACAGGAUUAGAUACCCGUGUAGUC
rnacentral:rRNA from 1 species